GCGGUAAGGGGCGAAAUUGGUAGACGCACCAGAUUUAGGUUCUGGCGCCGCGAGGCGUAAGAGUUCAAGUCUCUUCUUCCGCACCA
rnacentral:tRNA from 1 species